CAGUCGCUGGCCAGGUGACCUUGGAGCAACACGCCAGGCAAGUGGCCGUGCGAGAGGGAGAAGGAGUCACCUUCCAGUGCAGCAUGAGUGGAGACAGUAUGAGCAGCUACUACAUGUAUUGGUACCGACAGGGGCCACAGCGCACUCUGGAACUGGUUUAUCGGGUGUAUGAUGGCUCUGGUGCAGAUUUCCAGGAUCGAUUUGAACAAUUAGAAGAGAGCUCCCAGAACAGAUUCACCCUGCAGAUCCAGGCAGCAAAGCCAGGGGAUGAAGCAGUGUAUUACUGUGGUGCUAGUCUCACCUUGGAGCAGCUGUGCAGCAGAAUGGACCAAAAACCACCCGACAGAGAAUUUCAGCAUUUCUCCACGCGUCUUCCUAGAAGCUGCUGA